CUGGGGCGUGUCAGGGAAGGGUGAUUGGCAGGCGAGGAGGGGGAGCAAAGGAGAGCUCAUAGGAUCUGAUAUGUCCGCCAUCUUGAAGUGUCGGUGAUGGUGGCGAGCGCCCGUUUUCCCGUCUGAGCCGAGGCAGACCGGGACCCGUGACGGGGAGACGCGCUCGCCGAGUGCCUCAGAGUGCUUUCUAAGUAGAAAAGUGAAUUGAAGCUCUAAGACUGUCCCAUGAUGUGCCUGGAGAUCAGUAUAGAUGGGUAUAAAAUAAAAAUGAGUCACAUUGCUCCCUAUGACUCUACAUAAGGGGGGGGAGGAAAUACAGCACCUUCCAAUCCCAAGUCUCUCACUGCUGUACUUCUUUAAAAUUUAAUUGUCCAGUUAACUUGGAAUCUUUAAUGUCUUGUAUUAAUGGCUUGACAAACUUAUUGGAUAUCUACACACAUUCAGAAGCAAAUGCCUCAGGAAAAUGGUAAGUAUUUAAUGGAAAGAGUAUAUAACAAAUGCCAAGAUUCGUCAAUGUUCAACUCCUUAUCUCCAAGGUUAUCAGGAAACAUGGACAUAUCUGGGACAUGUUAAAAUAGAGCCAGACCAACUUCUAUGACAGGCAUCCCAUUGGGUAGCUGUAAAAAUAUGUCAAAGAAGCUGACCAAAAGAAUCCCUUCAUUGACCAAAACUUAAAGGGAAAACUCUUGGGGCUUAACAUUGAGGAUGUGCAAAGAGCAGCCUAGGAUAGAUAGGCAUGGCACAGACUUGUUUGUGCCCUAAGAAACACUAGAUAGCUUGGGAAGGAUUCAGAUUAGAUUACAUUUCUAACCCAAGAGCAGAGACUAGAUGCCUGCUGAAUUCUGGGACGUCCAUCUAGGUGAGAAGACCGCAUGCCGCCUCCAGCUGCUAGAAGUGUCUGCAGGCAUGCAUGCACGUGUGCUGGGCUUUUCACUGUGGUGCUAUGCCUGUACUCUACAGAGGAGCGCCUGUCUUUCAGGUUACUUUAGUUAGUGCAUGUCUGAAAUUGGAGUCCUGUCACUUUUUGCAAAGUGACAAAUCUAUUCUUUCCUUCUGCAGCUGCUUUUUUGUACCAUCCUCUCUUGAAGUUCCUUCCUGGCUGCUGGGAGCAGAGCUCCCUUUACUUCCUGUAAUCUUUCUCCAACAAAUGACUUAAUUAUCAGUGUCUAUCCCUGCUUCCUGUGGGCAGCAGAAAUCCUACUAACUGAUUCUAGAUAGUCUCACUCUACAGUCAGCUUCAUUCCUGCUGUCAGCCAUAGCAAGAAGUAGCAUUACCGUCCUUCACCAUAUGUAGAGUGUGGAGUGUUAUGGGGACCUGGUUUUGGUUGGUGCCUUGGGGAGCUGCUGCAUUAAAUAAGAACUGUCUAGUAAGCUAACUACUGGUGGUCAAGAUUUUCUGCUUCUGAGUAAAAGAAGGUGGUCAAGAAACUUGGCAUGAGAACAGAUGCAAAUGCAUAUAUUUCCUGAACCAUGGUAUAAAACUACUCUUUAAGCUGUACUUUUGCUUGGCUCAGCCUAUACCAUUUACUUAAUUGUUUCCUUUGUAACUAUUGUAUUUCAAGGUGGGAAACAGAGGAACGGAAGAAGCAAAACCAAAAUGUAGCUGAAGAUUGAGGAGUACUAUAAAGCUACUGCCUUUCUGGGAGAGCUGCAUUAACUGGUUUGGCUCUACCAUUUUAGUAGGAUCAUGGCAAUAAUAGUAAUAUUUAGCACUUAGGUUUUGUUCAGGGUCUCUCAAAUGUCAACUAAUUAAAACUUUACAGCUUCCCCUGCCAUCUGGAGCCCUUCCUGUCUCCUUACAUAUGCUAUUCUGAGAAUCCUUUAAGUGAGGAAGGCAGUUUAUCCCACACUGUAAAAGCUAUAUUGUUGCAAGUAUAGUGCUCUGAUUGUCCUUGCAGGAACAGGACACAAUUCUAGAGUCUUUAUUUAUAUACCUACAUCUUCUUGUCUUGUAACAUCAGUGCCAUACAAUCAGGGAUAGAAUUUGCAGUUUUACUCUGUCCAUAUAAACAUUUGAUAACUUUUAUUUCUCAAAGGCUGUGGCAGGUGCAGUUGUGCUGCCACUUCAGACAGCUUGGUUCUGAGCUGCCUAAUACUCUCUUAGAGAGCAUAAAUGCUUUUUUUUUUUCUUCUCCAUUAUACUCCAGACUGUAAUAAUCUCCUUUUGUAGUGACAAGUUUCAGUUCCUUGUUUUGAAGAGAAGGUGAUUCCCCUCACUUCCUAUUAUUGGCUGGGAGAGAGUUAACAUUUUACUAAUCUACAAAGCAAAUUGUAGUCUUCCCCAUCUAAAGUUUUUCUUUAUAUUGUCUGCUGUAGAUUAUGCCAAUGAUUAGUGAAAUGCAGUCAUGCUUUAGGAUAGAAAAUGCCUUUGUUUACCACUACCAGGAAUACUCAGAGGUAAAAAUACUUCCUUCUCUUCCCUGCCCCACAGUUUGGGGGGUCAUGAUAGAUAAUCAACUGAACAUGAGCUCCCAGUACUACACUGUGACCAGAAAGACUAAUGUGAUCCAAAUCCGUAAAUGGGGAUCUCAAGUAGGAGUAGAGGUUAUUUUACCUUUGUAUUUGGCACUGGGCGACUGCUGCUGGAAUACUUCAUCCAGUUCUAAUGUUCACAGUUCCAGAAGGAUGUUGAUUAAUUGUAGGGGUUUAGAGAAGAGUCAUGAAAAUGAUUAAAGGAUUAGAGAACUUGUCUAUAGUGAUAGAUGGAAGGAACUCAAUUUACUUAGCUUAACAGAGACAAAGUUUAGGGGUGACUAAAUCACAGUCUGUAAGUACUCACAUGGGGAACAAUCAGAGGAACUCGAGAGGUCAUCUAGUCCGGUCCUCCGCACUCAUGGCGGGCCUAUUAUCUAGACCAUCCCUGAGAGGUAUUUGUCUAACCUGCUCUUAAAGAUCUCCAAUGAUGGAGAUUCCACAACCUCCCUAGGCAAUUUAUUUCAGGGAGAUUGUGGAAUGUCCCCUCUUGGUCUUUUCUUCUCCAGACUAAACAAACCCAAUUUUUUCAGUCUUCCCUCAUAGGUCAUGUUUUCUAGACCUUUAAUCAUUUUUGUUGCACUGCUCUGGACUUUCUCCAGUUUGUCCACAUCUUUCCUGAAAUGUGACCAGAACUGGACACCAUAGUCUAGCUGAGGCUGUAUCAGCAUGGACUAGAACAGAAGAAUUGCUGCUUGUGUCUUGUGAACCACUGAUAACUCGUCUCUGGGAACAGUUUUCCAACCAGUUAGGCACCCGCCUUAUAGGAGCUCCAUCUAGGUUGUAUUUCCCUAGUUUUGUUUAUGAAGUUGAGACAGUAUCAAAAGCCUUACUAAAGUCAAGAUAUACCACAUCUACCACUUCCUCCCUAUCCACAAAGCUUGUUAUCCUGUCAAAGAAAGCUUUUAGAUUGGUUUGACACAUCCAUGCUGACUCUUACUUAUCACCUUGUUAUAUUCUAGGUGUUUUCGAAUUGAUUGCUUAAUUAUUUACUCCAUUAUUUUUCCAGAUACUGAAGUUAAGCUGACUCAUCUGUAAUUCCCCAGGUUGUCCUUAUUUCCCUUUUUAUAGAUUGGCACUAUAUUUUUUCCCUGUUCCUGUCCUUUGGAAUGUCUCUGGUCUUCCAUGACUUUUCAAAGAUAAUUGCUAAUGGCUCAGAUAUCUUCUCAGUUGACUCCUUGAAUAUUCUAGAAUGCAUUUAAUCAGGCCCUGGUGACUUGAAGCCAUCUAACUUGUCUAAGUAAUUUUUAACUCAUUCUUUCCCUAUUUUAGCCUCUGAUCCUAAUUCAUUUUCACUGGCGUUCGCUGUGUUAGACGUUCAGUUGGCUACUAACCUUUCUGGUGAAAACUGAAACAAAGUCAUUUAGCACUUCUACCAUUUUUCACAUUUUCUGUUCUCUCUUCACACCCCCCACCCCUCCCCCCCCCAUUGAGUAAGAGGAUCACCCUGGCCUUGGUCUUCCUCUUGCUCCUAAUGUGUCUAUGGAAUGUUUUUUUUGUUACCCUUUCUCUGUAGCUAGUUUUGUAUUGUUUUGUGCCUUGGCCUUUCUCAUUUUGACUAGUUUGUUUAUAUUCAUCCUUUGUAAUUUGACCUAGUUUCUGCUUUUUGUAGGACUUUUUUUUGAGUUUCAAAUCAUUUAAGAUCUUCUGGUUAAGUCAGGAUGGCCUCUUGCCAUACUUCUUAUCUUUCCUAUGAAGUGGGAUAGUUUUCUCUUGUGCCCUUAAUACUGUCUCUCUGAAAAACUGCCAACUCUUGAACUGUUUUUCCCCUUACAUUGGCUUCCCAUGGGAUCUUACCUACAAACUUAUAUAUGAUGAUUGGCUCUUCAGUCUAGCAGAGAAGAGUAUAACACAGUGCAGUGGCUGGAAGUUGAAGUUAGACAAAUUCACACUGGAAAUAGGGUGUAAACUUUUAACAGUGAGAGUAAUUAACCACUGGAGCAAUUUACCAAGAGCUGAAGUGGAUUCUCAAUGACUGGCCUUUUUUUUUUUAAAUGUCCUCUAAUUCCAACAGGAAAUUAUUCCAGGGAAGUUCUGCAUCCUGCUUUGUUCAGGAAGUCACACUAGAUGAUCACAACAGUCCCUUCUGGCCUUGGAGUCUAUGAAGUCUUUUCAGGGAGAAAUUUGCCACAGCUAGUUAUGGGAUCUGUACUAUCAAUGUCUGCAUAACUUGAGCUUAAAAGCAAACAACUCCAUAGUUUUCAGGGUUAUAAAGAUAAUGUUCAAAUAUAAGCAAUGUGGUCUUAGACUUGGGUCGCUUCAGACAGCUCCUGUGUUUUUGACAGCUCACGGUUUCACACCACUGCUUUAAAAAAAGCUAACAAGACUGAUCAAUUUUAUUGCUGCUAUUUAGAGCAGUUGACAAAAAGCAAAAAUCAAGACUAUGAUCACUUUUGUGCUGCUGGUCUGGGAAAACUGAACAGCAGCAAAAGUGAGCAUUUUACGGAGGCAAGUUGAACUCUAUAGAGAUUUGCCAGCAUAGCUAUCUUGGUCAGGAUUGUGGAAGAUCACACCACUAACUGAUAUAACAAUGCCAAUGAAAUCCCCUGUGUAGACGCAGCUUAGACUGGCAAGAAUCCUUUUGAGAGUAGAGCUUAUAAGGUUUGUGGAGGUGGCUAACUAUGCCAGCAAAAAUUUCUUUCGCUGCAGCUGCAUUAGGGGGCUUUGCUGGCAUAGCUAUACUGGCAAAGACUUGAGUAUAUGCUAGCCCUUGUUGAUAAAAGAGCAAAAGUGCUGGGGGAAUAGUAGAAGAGAGAAGAAAAGAGAUACAAAGUUUCCUCUUCCUGCAGCUGUAGGAAGAGUUUCAAACCUUUAAGCCUAAGUCUGAUACAAAAGAGUGAACUCCUGAACAAAUUCUAAGAACAAACUUUUGGUAGAAAUCCUAGUAACCUGCCCCAUUGUUGGCAGCUUGUGACAGUGGAGCUCUGGGCCCAUUCAGUAGACUCUGGCUAUUGGCUCUUGCUGGGGCCAAUCUCUGUUCUAUUUAUGGGUUUCUAGAUGUCUGGUAAAUUUCGUAAAUAGGGCUUGUCUAAGCUACCAUUUAAAUCAAUGUAACUUACGUCACUCAAGGGUGUGAAAAUCCACUCCUCUGAGCAACGUGACUUAAAGCAGUGUCCAUAUGGCACUAUUUCGGCGUGAGACACUCUCCCUCCAACAUAGCUUCUGCCUCUCGUUUAAGUGUAGUAAUUAUGCCGAUGGGAGAGUGCUGUCCUGUUAGCAUAGUGCGUCUUCACCAGAUGCACUACAGCGGUGCAGCUGUGCUGAAGUGGCAUGAUAGUGUAGACUUGCCCAUAGUAUAUGGUUAACCCAGUCUCUAAUGGCUCUAACUACAGUUAGUGGUUUGGCAACCUUACUAGAUACCUAUGAGCCAUACAUUUUUUAAAAGGAAUGUAAAUGGUGUGGUGGAAGAAUACUUACUAUUUCUCUAAACUUCUCAGGGGAAUCAAUUCUGUGAAGGCUACCAGUUUUGACUUCUGCUACUAUCUGCCUAGAAAGCAUUUGCUUUUUAAGACAGUUGACUCACAAGGCCCAUCACUUGAAAUUGAUAAAACAAAUCAGAGUUCUAAACAGGCUUCUCAAGAUACAGCACAGGUUUUCCUUUAAAGCUGCAACCCUCUUCCAAAUCCUGGACUAGUCAGAUGGCUUGGUAUCACACUUGUACUUCCAAGUGACUAUUCCUCUGGCUUUUGGGAUGGUAGUAAUCUCAUGUUGCUUCAGUAAUGAACACGUGACCUAGGAGUAACACCUCCUGUUUCUGCAGGCCGUUCAGUCCUGUUUCCAAUGACUGGAGAAAGCUGGCAACAAAUAAGGUGGAAACAGGAGGAAAGACUGUAGAAGGGAAAACUUAGUGGGGAGGGGUAUAAGAUAGGGCUUUCUAACCCUUUCUUGAUGAGGCCUGUGAGGAGGAGUAGGUCACUGGGACUAGUCAAGGUGAAUCUUCCUGAGGCUUUUUGGAGGACAUGAUGGCCCUAAUUUAAGAAGAGAAACUCCUAGGUUCUGUCUCGUGAAUGGCUUAUAUUCACCUAGCCUAUAUGAAAAUUGUUGCCCCAAUGAUUCCUUCAGAAUGGUUUUCCUCUGGAAACUGUUUUUGUGUACAUAGGGAUGUAAGUGCAUACUGUUUAUAAGCAAGUGGAAUUUUUUGUGAACCAAGGUGUAACUUCAGUAUAAAGAUAUAGAAUGUUUAAGCAAUGACAGAUCCAUUUUACUGUAACAUCCAAACUAAAAUACUUCAGGAUUUGUGAGCAAAAUUCGCCAUCUGUAGCAGGAUGUUCAGCACAUCUUACCAUCUGUCGUGCUAUAAUCUUAAACUGUAGCACACAAACACUAUUUGAUAGAGGAACAGAAGAGAAUGAGGAUCCUUUUUAAAUGAAACUACAAACAGGCCUUUUCAGGAGACCACUAAUUUCACUUGUGGAAUAAUACUUUAGACUCUAUUUUUUUGUAUAUUCAUGGAACCUGUUUUCUCUUCUGGAGAUGGUAGGCGUUAUUUAAUAACAUGCUUAUUUUGGAUUGGGUCUCAAGUAUAGCUUUGUGUGGGUUGUAAUGUUCAUAUUGAUUCAGACUGCUGUAAGAAGUCUCUUUAUAUCAGGUAGUCAGCAGAUUAUCAGACCUCCUGGGGGAUGCUGUGCUGUCUUAAAUAUCCGUUAAUUGCAUAUAUAGAUUUGUAUCCCAAAAAGGGGUGUGUGCUUGACCUCAGAGAUGUGAUCAGACUGUUUCCACCUAGGGAAAUGCUUUCUAAUACCCUAACAGUACUGUCCCCCAUCAUUGUUCUGGAUACCCCACGUACAGGCUUGUGAAACUGUACCUCUGAUAUUACAGAACUUUGGUAAAAGGUUUAAUUACCCUCUCAGCAGGUAUAAAAUGGUGGUAGAAAUCCUACUGGAGAAGUCUACAGACUUGUUUAGAUUCCAGUGUUGUCAGUGCUGUACGCAUUACUGUGGCUUCCCGCGCUCUUCACAAUCUUUGUGAAGCCAAAGAUGUGCCAUUUCCCUCUGAAUGGACCUGUGACAGUGAUAGACUGUUGAACCAGUACACUAAGCUGGAAGGUGCACCUACCACAGCUAGAGCUGGAUGUACCUGGGCAACAAAAGUCAGGGAUGCUUUGUGCUCCCACAGUAUGGACUUGCAUAGGCCAAUAGAAGAACAGUACCUUUAUGAAUGUGCUUGUGGUAGGAAGGGGUUGACUGCCGUAUAAUGUACUUAUGGAUGACCUGACUUAUCAAAUGGGGGAGGGAGUUGAAUCACAGUAUAGAUUGCUUUAAGGAAUGUAUGGAUUGAUGCAGCUAACUGUAUUGAGAAAGUGUUUGCAUACAAGUUUCCACUUGUCCCUGAUCGUGUGUUUACCUUCAUUUGAAAUACACUUUGUAUGAUGUGAUGUAGUGGUAAAGCUUUUUAUUUUAAAAAGGUUUUAUAACCAACAAACACUUUAACCGGUUGCCAGGCAGGCCAGCUGCCAUUACCACACCAAAACAUCAGUAACAAACAACUUUUUUUUUUAAAAAAAGAACAAAGUGCACGAAUAAACACAUGGUUUCACUGUUUGAACAAGACAGAAGCCACCUACUGUUGCAUGUCCCUGGCCAUUCUCCCUUUCUUCUUUUCCUUUGCUGUGCACUUGGCACCAGGGGUUGGGGGGUAGAGAUGCCCACAGGGGAGGGGGGUCGGUAUGGAGGACUGCAAGGGGCACAAUUGCCUUGCCCAGCUGCUGAUGGGGCCUGAUUGCAGGGGUCAUUCAUCUAUGGAGUUGUCCAAGCUGUUCCUGGGCUGCAGCAGAGGGUACUGCGGUAGGGACUUAGGCCAUGGUGCAAGUACAGCAGGAACCAGUACUCUUGCAGCCAUUAAUGAUAGCAGCCGCUCAGACAGCUUUCUUCUGAGAUUUGUCAUCCUCCUGUAAUUGCUGUAACUGUUCUAGGAACUGUGAAGCAAAGGUCUGCUCUCAUGCUGAAAUCCUAUCCUCAAGCUGUGCAGCCUUUCUGCUUGCCUUUCGCCAUGCCUGUCCUCUAGCCAUAAGUCCCUCUGUCUUUGGUAUUGGAGCUGCUUGUUAGCCCUUUCCAGUACUUCAACCGUAAGUUCAUCACAAAUGCUCCUCUAGGAAUGGUCUGUGAAGGUAUGUUGACCCAGGCUUCUGCCACACUGCGGGCAUGCUGUGGAGUUACUUGUGGCACCUUAGAGACUAACCAAUUUAUUUGAGCAUGAGCUUUCGUGAGCUACAGCUCACUUCAUCGGAUGCAUACUGUGGAAACUGCAGAAGACAUUAUAUACACAGGGACCAUGAAACAAUACCUCCUCCCAUCCCACUCUCCUGCUGGUAAUAGCUUGUCUAAAGUGAUCAUCAAGUUGGGCCAUUUCCAGCACAAAUCCAGGUUUUCUCACCCCCCCCCCCCCCCCCCAAACUCACUCUCCUGCUGGUAAUAGCUUAUCCAAAGUGACCACUCUCCUUACAAUGUGUAUGAAAAUCAAGGUGGGCCAUUCCAUGCUCAAAUAAAUUGGUUAGUCUCUAAGGUGCCACAAGUACUCCUUUUGUUUUUGCGAAUACAGACUAACACGGCUGUUACUCUGAAACCUGUGGAGUUACUGUAACUUGUAGAGGUCAAGGGGCUGGAAUAGGACAAGACAGAAGGUCAUUGUCUCAAAUAGCUCAGUGCAGGAGCACAGAAAAAAUACUUGUGGAAUUUCAAGAGCACUAAAUGUUACUUUCUAAAACCGGAUUUCAGAAUAUUGUGAGAGGGAUGUUUCAGACCACAGACGCUCCCUGAACACAGUCAGGUUAGUUGCAGCAAAAAAUGGCAAGUUAAAAAUCACAGCUGCUUUUUUUCCCUACAUGCUACAAAAGGCUUCUCUAGCAUUUCAGGCAUUCCUCAUUUUGGAGGACGUAAGUUCUUGUGGUUGGCAAAGAAGUUAUUCCAAGCUGCUGGUGGGAAAACAGCAGUGCAUGCCACAAAGUAUUCAAAUGUAUAGAGAGUGAACCGCACAUCUGUGUGUGGAGUAGGGUGGCUAGUUACUGAGGUGGCCCUGGAAAAUAUGCUUUUUCCCAGAAUUGUGGCUACCUCUCUGGAGUUCCUGUUACAGGAAAAGCUUGAAGCUAUUAGCCUACAGGACUGGGUUAGAAUUUGAGGCAAUCAACUGGAUGCUGUGUGAGUCCAUAUGGCUUAGCCUGUUGCGUGCAAACACUGUCUGCUGUGCUGUCAUCCUGCUUAGCCCCCCUCCUCAGCAUGUAGCUGGACAAAAUUCAAACCUCCAGUUGUAUUUGGGAGAAAUUUAAUGACCUAUGGACUAGAUUUGUAAAGAGAACCCAUUUCUACACCUCCACCCAGAGUUCACUGUUUUCAGAUGGCUCAUUGCACAGUUGAGUGAUUACAAUGUAAGGUUGCUGUUAAAAUGUCCUAGUAAAAAUGUGCCUUCCUUGUGAAAAUUCACUUUUUGAGGAGUGUGGUUUUUUUGUUUACAUUUCCCAGUUGCCAUUUUGAAUUCCGCAGGGCGAGAAGGGACAGUGGCGGAGGGAUGCCACAGUGCUGGCAUGUAAUCCACCAUUAGUGGAGAAACACUGCUAUCUGGGGCUUGUAAUAUCUUUUGCAAUGGUUCAUAGAAAGGAGAUCCCUCACAUUCCUGUAUUAAUAAACAUUAAAAUGGAGCCAAAAACUUACCAGGCUCCAGGCAGCUGCUGCCUGUUUCAUUUUUGCUGCCAGUUCCACAGCCGUUCUUUCCUCAGGGUGUGGGGGGGAGGGGGGAUCAAAAAGCUCUUCCAAGUACAGCUCCAGAAUGUACUGCAGCUCCUACCACAAAAUCUCCUUUGGGACCAGUGUCACAGAAGAGUCGCUUCACUAGUCUCAGCUGGUGACUGCUGCUGGUUCCCCACAGUUCCAAUGCUAGAUUCCAGGGGCACGAGGUCGCCAUCCCGCCUGAUUAGGUCAUCGUGCACUGCUGUUGAUGCUGUACUCAGUGCAGUGCCCAGCACUUGGUCAAACACAUCAUAAAACGGGUAUAAUGUCAGCAGGUUGUCCAAGGUGUGCUUCUGGUUCCUGGUUUUCCAGUAUUCUGUCUUGAGCUGUUUAAUCUGCGCUCUGCACUGGUCACUGAUAUGGUAAAUUUCCAGUGUUGCUGGCUUCUUCGUUGCUUGCUGGUAUGUGUGGUCAUUAGUGGUACUCUCGCUAAAAUCUAUUAUUUUUGCUUGCCUCGCAUCCGAGAUUAAUCAAUAUCGGGCUGUGUUCCCAUGACCACGAAGCAGCGUGCUUUGCAAAGGACUUUUCUGGUCAGUGUCCAUUGCCGAUUUAGAAGAUUCUCCCAAAAUGUGUUAGCAACUCGCUGGGCAGAAUAAAUGGAAGGGUUAAAUACUGACUUGCUAAGCUGCUGUACUACAAAAAGGGGAUUGCUUCUGUUUCCCGGGAGGGGAGAAGAGGACCAAGGAAGAGGGCCCAUGCGAUUAUAGCAUACUUCUGGUGGACUCCCAGGACCCAAGUUUGGGGAGGUCUGCAUCUACCCUGCAGAGUGAUAGGGCUUGAACCCUGGGUCUCUGCUUGACUCAGGCUUGAACCCUCUAACCUUGUGGAGUCCUAGGACCCUGGGUCUGAGUCAGAGAUUUGUGUGUGGUUGGAAGGGGCAUUUGUGCUCAAGCCUGAGCCUUAUCCCGAGCCCAGGCUUACAUUGCAACAUAGAUAUACUCCUAUAGGCUGCAACUCCAGCUGCUAACCUGAAUUAAAAGCAGAUUUGCUGUCUCUUCACUGUUUUAACUCAUUAGCUAACCUGAAUUAAGAACACACUUCCCCUCCAUGUAGCCAUACUCUGAUAAGAACCACAAGAUGACACAUUUACCCAUUUUGGGUAAGAGCACUACCAUCUGAGAGGGUAAACUCAGAUCAGAAAAGGGACAGGUAUCUUCUCACAAACAUGACAGCACCCUAUAUUUAAAACUUGUUUUCAAGGUGAUAUGCAAAGAAUUUUUUUAAAAUAGGCUUAUCUGUUUAGUCUAAAGGUGACUUGUUAAAGUAAUUUUUUGUUGUGUUACCUGGAUCAGUCAUUGAAGUUUAGGUGUUAAUAUCCCUCCCUUCUCCCCCGCUAAAUCCUCUCAUCUCUCCAUUGCUUAGUUUUCACUCAGGUUUUACGGUGGUAGCAUUUCACUGGCUCUCCGUCAUAGUCUUUUGGGCCAGACAAGAUCUGCAUCUUUAAUGUAAAAUAAGUAGUUAGGUUUUCACAAAAAAAAAAAAAUCCUUUCAGGCCACCUUCAUACAAAAGGACAUAGGCUAACUCCUUUUUCCUUUAAGGGCUAUUCCUGAAUAAUGCCAUGUGUAGACAAGCCUUAAUAGACCUCAGUGUUUACUGAGUGUAAGUAAAGAAAAACUUGUAUGAAUUCAGGAAGACAAGCUCAUUUUCUUCCCCUGCCCUCCCCUCCGAACCUUUGUGCACCCACAGCUCCCAUGAACUGCAAUUGCAUUUGUGUUCAAGGGUAGGAAAGAUGGUUCAGUGGAUAGAGCACUGACCUGAGACUCAGAUCUAGGUUUAAUUCCUAGCUCAGCCACAGACCUGUUACAUGAGUUCAAUAGAUUUGCUUAAUGUACCCGGUCCCUCAGUGUUCCAUUUCACAAAUGGGGAUAAUUGAGCAAUUUAUGUAGCUAAAUGCUUUUUACUUUCUUUGCUUUGAGCAUGCAUCUUUAGUGUAGCUCAGCAUCAUUGGAAUGAUGUUAUAAUCCAGUUUCACUAGCUUGUUACCAUUGUGGAGUAAGUUAAAGAUUAAAAAAACCUAGGAAAUUAGUGCACAACUCUGUGGAAACAGGCAAGAUUGCUACACAUAAUGUGACAUACAACCACAAAAACUAGGGUAUGAAAAAUUAAACCACCUAAUGGUACAUGCCCUCCACAGGUAUGUGCCAUGCCGCUACUGCAGUCAAGACACUAAUUGUCACUAUAGGGAUACCAGUCUUGCAUAUCUUUUAUCAUGCUACCCACUCCCCUCAUAACAAAUUACUGCACAAAACAGUAACACUUAAUAGUGUUGGGAAGGAGUAGUUUGGUUAAGGUGUAUGCAAGAAGGUGGGUUGAGAGGGCAGAGAAAGGUGGUGGCUUAUGGUACGAUGGGUGGGGUAGUAGGGUGUGUUCUGUUAAGUGUCUGCUUUUUUGGUUUUUGUCAUACUGGGUAUGUGUUUCUGUCUUACCCCUUUCACAACAGCUUAUUGGGUAUUAGUUAAAACAGGACUAAGAACUUGUCUGCAGGGGGGAAUAGCUAUUCUGUGCUAGCUCCCUAUGCAGACACUCUUAUCCUGCACUAAAGCCAAUGCACUCCUGUAAUGUAGACACGGACUAUGCCAACAGAACAGGUUUUUUCCAUCUGUGGGAGUAGUGGCUCCUUGGACAAAGUUAGCUAUGUCAAUGGAAGCAUUCCUUUGUCAACAUAGCUAAAUCUGUGCUGGGGGUUAUGUUGUCAUAACUGUUAAUCGCAUGUAGUUUUUUUUUGCAUCCCUCACUGAUGUCACUGCGUUAACGUAAUUUAAGCAUAGACCUAACCUAAGGGUCUUCUGUGCGGUUUAGCUUAAUCAAGGAGGACUGGUUAAAUAACAUUUAAUUGCUUUAGGUAGGGAAGUGCUAAACAGGUUAAAAUUUCAAUAAUGAAUCCGAUGUAGAACAGAUGUGAUGAUGCUCAAUAAGAUGAAAAUGACUGAACUAAAUAAUGGCCACCCUUGCUGGAUUCAGAACUAAAUAAAAACCCAUCCGACGUAGCUGUCCAGUUAUAACUCUUUCAGAUGUAUGUGUACAUGGAUAUUUGUGUCCAUAUAAAAAUCCCCACAGUAGAACAAUACCACGCCGAUGGCUCUGCCCAUGGUUUCAGUAAGGUAAUGUUGACAUUUUAAAUUUAUAUCUCUAAUGGAAAGAAAAGAGAUGACGGGGGAAGUAGAAAUAGAGGUGUGCACAGAGCCCCUGUCAGGGUCAGGGAGGAUGGGGGACCCUGUUUUGCGGGGAAAGGAACAAGAGGGACAAUAGAGCCCCUGGUCUGUGGUGGAGGAAUUGUGAGGAGUGCAUAGUGCCCCUUGCAUGGAGAGGAUUGGGGGGGGGGUGUCUCUAAAAUAAAGGGGGAUGGGAGGGUGGCGCAAAGGACAUUUGUGGGAAGGGUAAUGGAUAGGGCCCUACCAAAUUCACAGCUGUGAAAAAUGCACCAUGAAAUCUGGUCUUGUGUACUUUUAUCCUAUAAUAUGCAGAUUUCACGGGAGACCAGCGUUUCUCAAACUGGGGGGACCCAAAAAAGGAUUUUUUUUGGUGGGGGGGAGGGUCGCACAGUUAUGGUAGGAGGUUGUGGUAUUGCCACCCUUACUUCUGCGCUGCCUUCAGAGCUGGGUGGCCGGAGAGCGGUGGCAGCUGGCUUCCAGCUCUAAAGGCGGUGCCCCACCAGUAGCAGUGCAGCAAUACCAUGCCAUGCCACCCUGACUUCUGCCCUGCUGCCUUCCCUUGGGUCAGGACCCCUACAGUUACAACACCCUGAAAUUUCAUUUUAAAUAUCUGAAAUAAUGAAAUUUUCUAUUUUUAAAAUUCUAUGACCCUGAAAUUCACCAAAAUGGACCAUGAAUUUGAUAGGGCCCUAUGAAUAAAGCUUGCUGCUAGGUAAGUGGCAAGGAGAUGCUGGAUCUCCUUUUUGAGAGGCACUUCAGCAUUGACUCAUGUAUUUCCAGCAAUAUAGAGUUGUGUAUUUUAGCUUAGAUAUUAGACAAUUCUUAGGGCUUAUCUACACAUGAAAGUUAACUCUGAUUAGGGUAGGGUGUGCAUUUAAAGUGAAGUAGCUGUUUCUGGUCGUCUCCAUGCCUAGAGGCAUUUAGUGUUCCCACAGAGGGCUUGUCUAAGCUUACGGUGGUGCAGCUGCAGUGCUUAGUGAAGAUGCUACCUAUGCCGAUGGGAGAGCUUCUCCCAUUGGCAUAGGUACUCCACUUUCCUGUGAGGCAGUAGCUAUGUCAACAGGAGAAGCCCUUCCCUCGACAUAGCACUGUCUACAUGAGGAGUUGGGUUGGUAAUACUGCAUUUCUGAAGGGUGUGAAUUUUUCACACCCCAUGAGCAUCAUAAUUAUACCAUCAUAAGUUGGUAGCAUAGACCAAGCCUCACUUUUUUAAACUCUUGUUGGUUCCUUUAAAGUGACCUGAAAAGGAAAAGAACAUUUAGCUUGUGCUGCCUUUGCUGCUUCAUGGGGUAUAAAAACCUGAAUGGUGUUUGGAUCCCUGUUUCUUUCUUAUCUCUUGGAUUUCUUGGAUGAAUCAUUGACUGACCGGAAGCUCUCUCAGCUUUUAGGUGAAUGGGCAGGGGUGUUUGAACCUUUUACAAAGAACUUUUCUCCCAACAAGUUGUCUAUAACAAUUUUGUUCAAGGCUGUCUGUCGGAAUAAAAAUCGCUUCUCUCAAUCCUUGGUGCAUUAAAUAUAACCAAACUCAAACGACUAGUUCUCUAAUCACCUAUAGUCUUCUAGGAUAAAGAAGACUUGAAUUUCUGAUGUGAAAUAAAGUAGAAAAACUUAUUUUGGGGCUUUGUAAAACUUAAUUUUUAAGCAAUAAAGAGUACAACUCCAGUUCCUUUUUCGUUAUCUUCAAAAUAAGCUUUUUAGGUUUUCCACUUUCUCACUGCAUUAGUUGGACCACUAUCCAUUUUGGAUGAAAUUUUUUUUUUGAUAAAAGGGUAUUUGUAAAAGUACCUAGUCUGAUUUGAAGACAUCUGAAUUAAUACACAACAAUAUGCACACUGCAGCUGUGCCUCCCUACCAGAUUUCUGGCAAGGAGUGUGUGUUUUCAAAAGGGGGACACUUGGGUCAGAUGGCACCUUAUUAUAAAUCCUGUUUUAGAGAAAGUUUUUAGACUUAGCCAUUAAGACUGUCUUUAAAAAACAAAACAAAACCCAAAAACC